CAGUAGCCGCGGUAAUACGUAGGUGGCAAGCGUUGUCCGGAAUUAUUGGGCGUAAAGGGCUCGCAGGCGGUUUCUUAAGUCUGAUGUGAAAGCCCCCGGCUCAACCGGGGAGGGUCAUUGGAAACUGGGAAACUUGAGUGCAGAAGAGGAGAGUGGAAUUCCACGUGUAGCGGUGAAAUGCGUAGAGAUGUGAAGGAACACCAGUGGCGAAGGCGACUCUCUGGUCUGUAACUGACGCUGAGGAGCGAAAGCGUGGGGAGCGAACAGGAUUAGAUACCCGUGUAGUCCCUGUCUCUUAUAC
rnacentral:rRNA from 1 species